UGCUUAACCUGUUUCUUAGGUUAAAUUUGAAGAAAAAAAAAAAAUUUACCUAAUAAUGCAAGAAACAUAGCUUAAUUAAGCGCUGCAACAGACGUCCCUUACAGGACACGCGUCAUAACGCGACGUCUCUCUUUCUCUCUCGAAAUCAGUCGGUUUGAUUCCGAAACUUCUCCGUGAAAACUUGCACCACUGGAAUCGCCGCCGUCUCAGUCGCUUCACCACGUCCUCAUCAAUCGUCGCCAUCAAUCGUUCGUCUUACUCUUAUUGAAAGCGUUGCUAGAUGGCGUUUUUGCUAAACAACACCUCAAUUGCAUCUCACCUCCGAUCUUCUUCCCAGGGAUCUUUUAAGGAGGAGACAAGAUGAGAUUGGUCAAGUGUUGGUUCUGCUCUUCUACGAUAUAUCGAAGCGAGGAUUGUGGUGGCGCGGUGGUUGAUUGGUUGCUGGAGACGGUGGCUAUCCCCCGGUGAUCGAUGGGUGUGGUUAUCGAGAGCUUUGUCUGGGAGCCAACCUCAAGCGUCUUUGUCUUCUUCCUCCUCUCCACAUUUCGCUUCCGAGUCAUCUUUAAACAUACACAAGGUAGCUUCAUGGUGGAGCGUGCUUUACAGACCGCAGAAGCUUGUGUGGAAUCAAACUAACCUUUCCUUGAGGAUCCUGCAACAUCUCUGUCUCCGUUCUCUACGGCUUUCUACUUGGUGAUUGUUAGUCCCAUCUUAUAUGAUUUCUACAACUAUGGACCUGAGGACCGCCAACUCUCUCUUCUAUUGACCGAGUUCUUGCAGAGUGUUGCUUUUCUCGGGGCACUGCUAUUCUUUAUCGGAAUGAAGAACUCUACGAUGACCUCCUCCAAGCAGAACCAAAGAAGCCAAGCAUAGCUGAGGAGCCUACAACACAUAUAACUCUUCUUGUCUUACCAUUCUUCUCAUGUUCAGAAAAUAAUCAAAAACUUUUUAUACAUUUUGAUCACAAAUUCAUACAUUUUGAUCACAAAUUAUACAAUAAUAAUCAAAAACAAUGUUUAAUUAAGAAACCCAAAAUAAAAGACUACCAUUGGAGACCCAAAAUCAUGGUGUUUCUUAA